AGUGGGCCAGGAGCUUUAUUUAGCUGGGCUGAAAUCCCGCAGACCUGGACAGCCCUCCUAAGCCACUGUCCUUGCUGCCCAAGAGGACAAAAGCUCGUGGACAGGCUCUGCCCCCUCUGGGAAGAGAGCCA
ensembl:misc_RNA